GUUUGAAUCCCUGCCGCCGAACUCUGGGAGACGUCGUCGCCCCCGUCCGAGGGGAGACGCCGCGCCGCCUCCCCUCCAUGCUCGCGCUAGCCCCCCUCCCCCCGCUUUGUCGUGCUACUUCCUCGGCCCACUGCAGCACCAUGGUGGGAUCGAGAUCGGGGAUGAGGUGGGAAGGGACGAGGCAGAGGCCAUGAAACCAUCCCCUCUCUGCCCAAGCGCCUUCUGCUGGUCGUCGCCGAUAUGUCUCAUCCAUCGCCCCGCCAUCGCCCCUUGCUCAUGGCCACCGCAUCGAUUCCAUCAAUCCUCCCCACUCUCUUUUUCUCGAGCCUCAACAGAUCUGCAAGGGCGGCGGCCCACUAUGGACAUCCAUGGCGGCCGUGGUGAAAUGUGGAGUAAGAGGAAACACCAGAACAAGCGGCAAUGAAUAUUUUGCUUCGUGGUGAUUGGGCAGAUGACUAUCAACACCGACGGAGCAUCGUCCAUCUUGAUAGCACACUGCCAAGCUGCGCAGGAAGAUGGCAGUGAGAUGGAUGUUGAUGCUGCAGCUCCAUCGGCUCAAGUUUCAAUCAAGCAUGGACUCCUAGAGACUGAAAUAUACUGCUACCUUCUUGUGUUGAUUUUUCCUUAUAGAUCACAAGAAAUAUGAUGAGGUACGUCCAAGAAUUUCCUCCACUGUGUCAUCAUUAGUGAAACAUACCAAUUUGAUGUUCUCUUUAGGCUAAAGCAUGUGCAAACGCUAGCAUUGCUCGUUUGAAGAAUCUCAACAGGAGGACCGUUGAUGUUUUGGCUUCUAGGCUAUAUUCGUAUUACUCGUAUGUCCAUGAACUCAC